CAACCCACUCUCUGCACUACGACUUCAUUGCUCUUUCCCAGUCCCGCCCUGGGCAAGCCCCUUAUGAAGUCUCAGGCCAUCUGGAUGACCACCCUUUCUUAUGGUGCUGCAAGGAGGGCAGGUGGGCAGAGCCCCGCACAUCCUGGGCUCAGGCCUAGGGACCUAAGAGCUUGGGAGAAGCUGGUUCUCAGACUGAAGGCCAGAGCCCAGCACCUUGUCACCAUCCUGAGGAGCAUCAUGGCACACAACAACCAGAGCCAAGUAGAGACAGGGUUUCACCAUGUUGGCUAGUCUGGUCUCGAACUGCUGACCUGAAGUGAUCCGCCCACCUUAGCCUCCCAAAGUGCUGGGAUUAUAGGCAUGAGCUACCGCUCCCGGCUUCCUCCUAUAUCUCUUGAUCAAACUUCAGGGGAAAACCUGCCAGAUUCCCCAGGAAGGCUGCUUGGAGGUGUGCUGAGAAAAGUCUACAUUCCCAUGUCAAGCUACAACUAGAGUUGACUCCUCUAUUUGAGAUUGACAGGCCUCAGAAGUCAAAAUAAGUGGUUUCCUAGACCUGGUCGAGAGCAAGUCUCUAUUGGUCCCAAGUGAGUUUUUUCAGCUGUUUUUUCAACCAAACAGCACCCCAUCUUCCAGUGAGGGGAAGGGAAGACUGGGCUGACAGCAGCAAGGCUGCUCAUCUCACCUCUCCCCAUCCAGCCAUGCCAGCCGCCACACCUGGUGGGGAGAGGUGGGCCUCACCUGGGUCCCCUGGCAGUGCUCUGUGAAGGGUUUUGACAUUGUACUAUUAUAAUAAAGGUGUGUGUGAAGUAUC